rnacentral:rRNA from 1 species
AAUGGCGUAAUGAUGGCCAGGCUGUCUCCACCCGAGACUCAGUGAAAUUGAACUCGCUGUGAAGAUGCAGUGUACCCGCGGCAAGACGGAAAGACCCCGUGAACCUUUACUAUAGCUUGACACUGAACAUUGAGCCUUGAUGUGUAGGAUAGGUGGGAGGCUUUGAAGCGUGGACGCCAGUCUGCGUGGAGCCGACCUUGAAAUACCACCCUUUAAUGUUUGAUGUUCUAACGUGGACCCGUAAUCCGGGUUGCGGACAGUGUCUGGUGGGUAGUUUGACUGGGGCGGUCUCCUCCUAAAGAGUAACGGAGGAGCACGAAGGUUGGCUAAUCCUGGUCGGACAUCAGGAGGUUAGUGCAAUGGCAUAAGCCAGCUUGACUGCGAGCGUGACGGCGCGAGCAGGUGCGAAAGCAGGUCAUAGUGAUCCGGUGGUUCUGAAUGGAAGGGCCAUCGCUCAACGGAUAAAAGGUACUCCGGGGAUAACAGGCUGAUACCGCCCAAGAGUUCAUAUCGACGGCGGUGUUUGGCACCUCGAUGUCGGCUCAUCACAUCCUGGGGCUGAAGUAGGUCCCAAGGGUAUGGCUGUUCGCCAUUUAAAGUGGUACGCGAGCUGGGUUUAGAACGUCGUGAGACAGUUCGGUCCCUAUCUGCCGUGGGCGCUGGAGAACUGAGGGGGGCUGCUCCUAGUACGAGAGGACCGGAGUGGACGCAUCACUGGUGUUCGGGUUGUCAUGCCAAUGGCACUGCCCGGUAGCUAAAUGCGGAAGAGAUAAGUGCUGAAAGCAUCUAAGCACGAAACUUGCCCCGA